CAUUACACAAAUAUGAAGCCGGACUGGGAUAGGGCCUCGCUGCCUUGCCCGUCUGGCGCCAUAUUCACCCAUGUCUUUUUGCGUACUACUUGUUUCCUUGGCGGGUCCGCCCGCCAAUUGGACCUUAUUCAAACCUUUUUUUCAGUUGCAAUCAGCGUCAGCAAAACAAAUGUAAUCAAUUACAACUUUCAACAACGGAUCUCUUGGUUCUGGCAUCGAUGAAGAACGCAGCGAAAUGCGAUAAGUAGUGUGAAUUGCAGAAUUCAGUGAAUCAUCGAAUCUUUGAACGCACAUUGCGCCCUUUGGUAUUCCAAAGGGCAUGCCUGUUCGAGCGUCAUUUGUACCCUCAAGCUUUGCUUGGUGUUGGGCGUCUUGUCUCUCUCCCGAGACUCGCCUUAAAAUCAUUGGCAGCCGGCCUACUGGUUUCGGAGCGCAGCACAUUAUUUGCGCUCUUGUCCAGCCGCGGUCGCGCGUCCAUGAAGCUUCUUUCAACCUUUUGACCUCGGAUCAGUAGGAUAC
rnacentral:rRNA from 1 species